UUAAAAUACCGCGCACCUGCAUCUAUGCAACCUAUGCUACCGAUGCAAGAUAUCUGUUUCAAGAUUUAAAAAUAAUCUAUUACUGCGCUAUUGUCAAUGUAAAAGUUUGAUUGGAUAUUUUACAAAAGUAAUGAAUAUUAUCUCUUUAAUAAAAUUAAUUAAUUAAUUAAUGUGUAAACAUAUAUGUGCAAUCCGAAAAUUAAAAUCAAAACUUUCGCACAAAGAAACGUAAUUCGAGGAUAGGAGGUUACAAACACCAAAAUACAUGCUGCGAUCUUUUCACCCAACGGUGGAUAGAGAUGGAAGGGAUGGAAAUGUACCAGAGGUAUUGGAUUUUGAUCGCAAUGAAUCUUCUCUUGAUGACGGCAAAUUCUCAAUUAACUAAAUUAAAAGGUGAUUUGAAAAAAAGUGAAAAUACAAAAUCUUUCAUCGUGUAGAAAUUUCAUAUUCUUUAAAUGAAAAAUGUAUGUGUAAUUUUCAGAUAUACAACUCCCGCGUAACACAUAUCCGCUAUAUGUAAAUAUACGUAUUCAUGUCAAUAAAAUUAACAUGU
rnacentral:misc_RNA from 1 species